AAACGUAGUGGGCGUGGUCAACCUGUGACUUCAAUCGAGAGUGACCAAUAGAAAAAGGCCUUUCAUCCUGGAUUGUGUCAACUUCAUU